GCCGGGCGUAGUGGCGGGUGCCUGUAGUCCCAGCUACUCGGAGGCUGAGGCAGGAGAAUGGCAUGAACCUGGGAGGCCGAGCUUGCAGUGAGCCAAGAUUGCACCACUGCACUCCAGCCUGGGUGACAGAGCCAGACUCUGUCUCAA
rnacentral:SRP_RNA from 1 species